UUAAGCGACUAAGCGUACACGGUGGAUGCCCUGGCAGUCAGAGGCGAUGAAGGACGUGCUAAUCUGCGAUAAGCGCCGGUAAGGUGAUAUGAACCGUUAUAACCGGCGAUUUCCGAAUGGGGAAACCCAGUGUGAUUCGUCACACUAUCAUUAACUGAAUCCAUAGGUUAAUGAGGCGAACCGGGGGAACUGAAACAUCUAAGUACCCCGAGGAAAAGAAAUCAACCGAGAUUCCCCCAGUAGCGGCGAGCGAACGGGGAGGAGCCCAGAGCCUGAAUCAGCAUGUGUGUUAGUGGAAGCGUCUGGAAAGGUGCGCGAUACAGGGUGACAGCCCCGUACACAAAAGCGCAUGUGCUGUGAGCUCGAUGAGUAGGGCGGGACACGUGGUAUCCUGUCUGAAUAUGGGGGGACCAUCCUCCAAGGCUAAAUACUCCUGACUGACCGAUAGUGAACCAGUACCGUGAGGGAAAGGCGAAAAGAACCCCGGCGAGGGGAGUGAAAAAGAACCUGAAACCGUGUACGUACAAGCAGUGGGAGCACCCUUCGGGGUGUGACUGCGUACCUUUUGUAUAAUGGGUCAGCGACUUAUAUUCUGUAGCAAGGUUAACCGUAUAGGGGAGCCGGAGGGAAACCGAGUCUUAACCGGGCGUUAAGUUGCAGGGUAUAGACCCGAAACCCGGUGAUCUAGCCAUGGGCAGGUUGAAGGUUGGGUAACACUAACUGGAGGACCGAACCGACUAAUGUUGAAAAAUUAGCGGAUGACCUGUGGCUGGGGGUGAAAGGCCAAUCAAACCGGGAGAUAGCUGGUUCUCCCCGAAAGCUAUUUAGGUAGCGCCUCGUGAAUUCAUCUCCGGGGGUAGAGCACUGUUUCGGCUAGGGGGCCAUCCCGGCUUACCAACCCGAUGCAAACUGCGAAUACCGGAGAAUGUUAUCACGGGAGACACACGGCGGGUGCUAACGUCCGUCGUGAAGAGGGAAACAACCCAGACCGCCAGCUAAGGUCCCAAAGUCAUGGUUAAGUGGGAAACGAUGUGGGAAGGCCCAGACAGCCAGGAUGUUGGCUUAGAAGCAGCCAUCAUUUAAAGAAAGCGUAAUAGCUCACUGGUCGAGUCGGCCUGCGCGGAAGAUGUAACGGGGCUAAACCAUGCACCGAAGCUGCGGCAGCGACGCUGAUGCGUUGUUGGGUAGGGGAGCGUUCUGUAAGCCUGCGAAGGUGACCUGUGAGGGUUGCUGGAGGUAUCAGAAGUGCGAAUGCUGACAUAAGUAACGAUAAAGCGGGUGAAAAGCCCGCUCGCCGGAAGACCAAGGGUUCCUGUCCAACGUUAAUCGGGGCAGGGUGAGUCGACCCCUAAGGCGAGGCCGAAAGGCGUAGUCGAUGGGAAACGGGUUAAUAUUCCCGUACUUGGUGUUACUGCGAAGGGGGGACGGAGAAGGCUAUGUUGGCCGGGCGACGGUUGUCCCGGUUUAAGCGUGUAGGUGUGUGUUCCAGGUAAAUCCGGUUCACUUUAACACUGAGGCGUGAUGACGAGGCACUACGGUGCUGAAGCAACAAAUGCCCUGCUUCCAGGAAAAGCCUCUAAGCAUCAGGUAACAUCAAAUCGUACCCCAAACCGACACAGGUGGUCAGGUAGAGAAUACCAAGGCGCUUGAGAGAACUCGGGUGAAGGAACUAGGCAAAAUGGUGCCGUAACUUCGGGAGAAGGCACGCUGACACGUAGGUGAAGUGAUUUACUCACGGAGCUGAAGUCAGUCGAAGAUACCAGCUGGCUGCAACUGUUUAUUAAAAACACAGCACUGUGCAAACACGAAAGUGGACGUAUACGGUGUGACGCCUGCCCGGUGCCGGAAGGUUAAUUGAUGGGGUCAGCGCAAGCGAAGCUCCUGAUCGAAGCCCCGGUAAACGGCGGCCGUAACUAUAACGGUCCUAAGGUAGCGAAAUUCCUUGUCGGGUAAGUUCCGACCUGCACGAAUGGCGUAAUGAUGGCCAGGCUGUCUCCACCCGAGACUCAGUGAAAUUGAACUCGCUGUGAAGAUGCAGUGUACCCGCGGCAAGACGGAAAGACCCCGUGAACCUUUACUAUAGCUUGACACUGAACAUUGAGCCUUGAUGUGUAGGAUAGGUGGGAGGCUUUGAAGUGUGGACGCCAGUCUGCAUGGAGCCGACCUUGAAAUACCACCCUUUAAUGUUUGAUGUUCUAACGUGGACCCGUAAUCCGGGUUGCGGACAGUGUCUGGUGGGUAGUUUGACUGGGGCGGUCUCCUCCUAAAGAGUAACGGAGGAGCACGAAGGUUGGCUAAUCCUGGUCGGACAUCAGGAGGUUAGUGCAAUGGCAUAAGCCAGCUUGACUGCGAGCGUGACGGCGCGAGCAGGUGCGAAAGCAGGUCAUAGUGAUCCGGUGGUUCUGAAUGGAAGGGCCAUCGCUCAACGGAUAAAAGGUACUCCGGGGAUAACAGGCUGAUACCGCCCAAGAGUUCAUAUCGACGGCGGUGUUUGGCACCUCGAUGUCGGCUCAUCACAUCCUGGGGCUGAAGUAGGUCCCAAGGGUAUGGCUGUUCGCCAUUUAAAGUGGUACGCGAGCUGGGUUUAGAACGUCGUGAGACAGUUCGGUCCCUAUCUGCCGUGGGCGCUGGAGAACUGAGGGGGGCUGCUCCUAGUACGAGAGGACCGGAGUGGACGCAUCACUGGUGUUCGGGUUGUCAUGCCAAUGGCACUGCCCGGUAGCUAAAUGCGGAAGAGAUAAGUGCUGAAAGCAUCUAAGCACGAAACUUGCCCCGAGAUGAGUUCUCCCUGAGACUUAGAGUCUCCUGAAGGAACGUUGAAGACGACGACGUUGAUAGGCCGGGUGUGUAAGCGCAGCGAUGCGUUGAGCUAACCGGUACUAAUGAACCGUGAGGCUUAACCU
rnacentral:rRNA from 2 species